rnacentral:rRNA from 1 species
GACGUAGGGCGCGAGCGUUGUCCGGAUUUAUUGGGCGUAAAGAGCUCGUAGGCGGCUCGUUGCGUCGGCUGUGAAAACCCGCAGCUCAACUGUGGGCUUGCAGCUGAUACGGGCGGGCUGGGAUUCGGUAGGGGAGACUGGAAUUCCUGGUGUAGCGGUGAAGUGCGCAGAUAUCAGGAGGAACACCGGUGGCGAAGGCGGGUCUCUGGGCCGAUAUCGACGCUGGAGGAGCGAAAGCGCGGGGAGCGAACAGG